UACGUAGGGGGCGAGCGUUGUCCGGAUUUAUUGGGCGUAAAGAGCGCGUAGGCGGCUCGGUAAGUGAGGUGUGAAAACUCUAGGCUCAACCUAGAGACGCCACCUGAUACUGCCGUGGCUAGAGUCCGGUAGGGGAGCAUGGAAUUCCUGGUGUAGCGGUGAAAUGCGCAGAUAUCAGGAGGAACACCAGUGGCGAAGGCGGUGCUCUGGGCCGGAACUGACGCUGAGGAGCGAAAGCGUGGGGAGCAAACAGG
rnacentral:rRNA from 1 species